AAAAGAAAAGGGUGAAAAGAACAAAGUUUUGUCCAUCUUUGUUCAUCAUAGCUGAAAGUUAGAGAAGAGAAAAGAGAGGAGAAAGCUCUUGAGUAUUUGGUCAUUAGGAGGAGGAAAAUUGAAGGAGGUUCGUGUGUGGAUCUCAUCAGCAUAUCGUCGCAAACAGGAAAUCCCUAACCAUAGUGGGCUUGGAGCUGUGAGGGAAUUCGGAGUGGCCACCCGC